UCUUCCACACUCAUCGAAAACCAAAUCCGAUGCAUACAUUUUGUCACAAUGCCCUGUUAUCUUACACCUUAAGUACUGAAUUUAAUUAUCAUGUCCCAAGUGAUCAUAACCUUAAGCUAUGAUAUAUUUUUAUCACAAUCCCUAGUGAUCUUAAACAUAUGCUCGGAUUCCAAUUUUUGUCACUAUCCCCAAUGAUCUUAAACCUCAAACUUUAAUGCCACUAAGGCCAUAGUCCCUAGUGGUCUUAAACCUUAGAUUACAAUAUCAUUCCUGUUACAAUCUCAGGUGAUUAUAAACCAAGACUCUGAUAGUUUUUCUAUCAUAAUUUCCCACUC
rnacentral:lncRNA from 1 species